AAACAUCGGCCUGGCGGAGGCCGAUAUAAUUUGGUCAGUGCUCUGUUCUCCAGCUCAUCAAUCGUCGGCCCUGAGUUGGUUCACGACCGCGGGCCGAUGCCGCGCUUCUCUGUUUGCGCGUGCCCAGUAUUCGUCUCUUUUAGCCACCCAGAGAGAGAGAAGAGGAUAAUCCCAGCGACAUCUGUGGCUCUGAGGCUUUCAGAAAUAAUCCGGUGAAAUAAUAUGAUGUUUGUGUAAAUGCUGUGUGUGCGUUAAGUCCUGCGCGAACGGGGAGCAGAGUUGCCAUGGAAACGGGGCGUCAACAUAAAAACCGUUACUGGCAAGCAGUAAUCUCCGUCUCUCGCUGCGGUUUACACUGUUUUGGAAACGGUUUAGUGUCUUCGGAAAAGUCCGUUAUCAUUUUAGCAGUUUUCAGAUGUUUGUUUGUGUAAAUGCUGUGUGUGCGUUGAGUCCUGCGCUAGCAGGGAGCAGAGUUGCCAUGGAAACGGGGCGUCAACACAAAAACCGUUACUGGCAAGCAGUAAUCUCCGUCUCUCCCUGCAGUUUACACUGUUUUGGAAACGGUUUAGUUUCUUCGAAAAAGUCCGUUAGCAUCUUAGCAGUUUUCAGGAGGACAGAAAGAAACUCUACAGAACAGAAGUGAAGCUCCAAGAUUUCAACAUUUCUGAAGGGAGAUUCUGACUUAGAAAUACAGGUGACCUGAAGAAGCUCAUGAAAAACAGGAAUAUGCCUUUUUCAGAAUACAUUUCACCAAUUUUAAGAAGUCCCUGACAUCAUAACCUUGUUUCCUUCUAAUGAACCUGGAACUGCAGAGUAAAUAUUGUUGACUCUGUGUCAGAUGGCUUGUUUUGUUCCUGGAUUCUUCAGUGAUGACGAUCAGAGUCUGAGUGAACCUGCUGUCAGACAGGUUGGCCUGAUUGACGAUGUCAUCGUCCAUCGCCGAUGGCUGAUAGACAUCACGAUGCUGCGCCGGCAAACAGCGUCAUCAGCUCCAGUAUCUCGCCCGUGCAUCUGUUGUCAUGCGACAGAGAAGUCACGUUCUAUAGACAGUUUCUAUAGACAGUUGUGAACGUGCUGACAGCUGGUUGCCCAGGCUAUGGAUUAAAGGUAAUACUGUUGGCCAGCAGAGCCCUGCUCACCCUGACGGCCCACUGCUGCUGUCAGACAACAUCUUAAAGAUGCUAUAAACUGCAGGACCAGAUGGCCAUCCCAAGGUUUCUAGAGAUUACACCAGCUCCAGACUGAAUCCAAACUCACUCGUGAAGACUUCAGAUGACACCAACGCUCACAGAGACUACAGACGACAACUGUACAUGAACACACAAAACAAAUAUUAUCCUUAUUUUGCCUAUAAGGGUAAAUUUGAUGAUUUUCAAACUGCUUUAUUGUAACGUCUCUUAUAUCUGUAAAUGAACAAUAUUUACUCUCUGAGUUAUGUGGACCUACAUGUCCCCUUUUAUUUGUAAGCAUCACUUUAAAAAUGUUGAAAGAUAAUGUUAAUGUUAACUGAAUACUAAACUAGAGACUUGUUUAGUAAGAUUUUAUCAGAAAAUAUUUUUGAACUUUUAUCAUGCAAUUUAAAACAUUUUAAUUGCUUAACUAGUAUUGUUUGCCUGGUUUUAUUUUGUGUUUAUGUAACUCUUUUUAAAAAGUUAUUGGUAUAAAGUUAGCAUGCGAUGCUGACAGCACUGAACACAUGACUUUUUAUUAUGAACUAGAUGGUCUUCCCAGUGAGUCUCAGUCAUCUCUGGCUUUUUAAACUGUAACCUUGAAACAUGCAUUUCCUGUAAACCUACUUUGAAAUAAGUAUUGUCAAAAGGUGCUAUACUCAUACAACAUUUAACCAUGCAAGGACUGUAGUAAUGGUUAUUUUUGUUUUAACUAUGGGUUUACUGCAAAAGCUGUAGUAAAAUCAUGGUGAUUGUAGUAAAACUAUGGUUGAUUUUGUUUUUUCUAUGGUUUUAUUGCAAAAGCUGUAGUAAAAUCAUGGUUAAUGUUCAAAAGACUACAAAUAAUCCCGAAUUAUCCACUUUUGAUCAAAGCAUCUGGUAAAUGUUAUUGUAUUUGUACAUGUAAUAUGAAAUAAAUGAAAAUAUUAAUAAAGUUGCAUCUGUUCUUGA